AGGCAUCCCCAAACAAAAAACCCAGAGCCUGCUGGACCGGUGGUAUGACUUAGUAGAGGGCAUCCUCUGGCGUUUUAAAAUCAGCUCUUUGCUUAGAACCACGAGGACUGGAAUCUUAGGGCUCAAUAGCGCCGGCAUCUCCAGGUAGGGCUGCAAAAGACCCGCCACCUGAAACCCCGGAGAAGCUGUUGCAGGUCGGUGCAGACAAUACUGAGUUUGAUUGACCAAGGGUCUGGCUCUGUAUAAGACAGCAGCAUCCUAUGUUCCUGCGCUAGAAGGCAGCAUCGUUAUGUGUUGCAAAAGGGUCUGGGCUCCCUAGCUGGGGUGUGUUUAUAUGUGUGUGUGUGUGAGAGAGAAUGAGUGACUGUUCCCUGGUCAACUCCCCUCAAAAAGCGUUUUACAGCAUUGGAAAAGGUUUACGAAAAUGACCGAGGGGAUGGAAUGACAACUUGCAAAGAAAAAUGACAAUGUUUGGGACUUUUUAGGUCAGGAAGAGGUGGCAUGAUGGAUAUUUAUAAAACUAUGCAUUGCAUUAAAGGUAAAGGACCCCUGACAGUUAAGUCCAGUCGCGAACGACUCUGGGGUUGCGGCGCUCAUCUCGUUUUACUGGACGAGGGAGCCGACGUUUGUCC